rnacentral:rRNA from 1 species
CAGCAGCCGCGGUAAUACAUAGGGUGCGAGCGUUAAUCGGAAUUACUGGGCGUAAAGCGUGCGCAGGCGGCUUUGCAAGACAGAGGUGAAAUCCCCGGGCUCAACCUGGGAACUGCCUUUGUGACUGCAAGGCUAGAGUACGGCAGAGGGGGAUGGAAUUCCGCGUGUAGCAGUGAAAUGCGUAGAUAUGCGGAGGAACACCGAUGGCGAAGGCAAUCCCCUGGGCCUGUACUGACGCUCAUGCACGAAAGCGUGGGGAGCAGACAGGAUUAGAUACCCUGGUAGUCCACGCCCUAAACGGUGUCAACUGGUUGUUGGACGGCUUGCUGUUCUAGUAACGAAGCUAACGCGUGAAGUUGACCGCCUGGGGAGUACGGCCGCAAGGUUGAAACUCAAAUGAAUUGACGG